GACGAACGCUGGCGGCGUGCUUAACACAUGCAAGUCGAACGGAAAGGCCCUGCUUUUGUGGGGUGCUCGAGUGGCGAACGGGUGAGUAACACGUGAGUAACCUGCCCUUGACUUUGGGAUAACUUCAGGAAACUGGGGCUAAUACCGGAUAGGAGCUCCUGCUGCAUGGUGUGGGUUGGAAAGUUUCGGCGGUUGGGGAUCGACUCGCGGCUUAUCAGCUUGUUGGUGGGGUAGUGGCUUACCAAGGCUCUGACGGGUAGCCGGCCUGAGAGGGUGACCGGCCACAUGGGGACUGAGAUACGGACCAGACUCCUACGGUAGGCAGCAGUGGGGAAUAUUGCACAAUGGGCGGAAGCCUGAUGCAGCAACGCCGCGUGCGGGAUGACGGCCUUCGGGUUGUAAACCGCUUUCGCCUGUGACGAAGCGUGAGUGACGGUAAUGGGUAAAGAAGCACCGGCUAACUACGUG
rnacentral:rRNA from 1 species